UACGUAGGUGGCAAGCGAUACUCGGAAUCACUAGGCGUAAAGCGCAUGUAGGCGGUUUGGUAAGUCUUUUGUGAAAGCUCCCGGCUCAACUGGGAGAGGUCAAGGGAAACUACCGGACUAGAGUGUGGUAGGGGAUACUGGAAUUCCUGGUGUAGCGGUGAAAUGCGUAGAUAUCAGGAGGAAUACCUAUGGCGAAAGCAGGUAUCUGGGCCAUCACUGACGCUGAGCUGCGAAAGCUAGGGGAGCAAACAGG
rnacentral:rRNA from 1 species